rnacentral:lncRNA from 1 species
CCUCUUUGUCCACAUGUUCCUCAAAUAGAUCAUCAUCCCCAUCCAUAAUAUCAUAGUCACUGUCAUAGAAUUCCUCAUAUGUGUCUGAAUCUGCCGCACCAUUUUCAUCUCCUUCCUCUAUUUCUUCAUCAGCACAUCCUAAAGAUGUUGCUUCAUUGAACAAUCUCCUUGCUCUCAUUUUAGUUGACUCAAUUAUCACUUUAGUUGAGCUAGCUUGUUCUUUUCCCUUGCCAUCAUUAACGUCAUCUCUAAGAAGACUAUUUAGUCUCUCUCUGUGGUCUAUUAGUAGCAACGGAUUCUUGUGUACUGUGCUAGCUGCUAUAAUUGCAAUUCUAUCA